rnacentral:rRNA from 1 species
UACGUAGGGUGCGAGCGUUUGUCCGGAAUUAUUGGGCGUAAAGGGCUCGUAGGCGGUCUGUCACGUCGGGAGUGAAAACUCAGGGCUUAACCCUGAGCCUGCUUCCGAUACGGGCAGACUAGAGGUAUGCAGGGGAGAACGGAAUUCCAGGUGUAGCGGUGAAAUGCGUAGAUAUCUGGAGGAACACCGGUGGCGAAGGCGGCAUCCUGGACCGGUAUUGACGCUGAGGCGCGAAAGCUAGGGGAGCAAACGGGG